GGCAGGUGUUUUUGUGUGUGGGGGGGUUGCAGAAGGGGAAACAGAGGUUCUCUAGCUGGGGUUUUGGGCAAGGGGUUUUGUAGAAGGGGGAGGUGUUUUGUAGAAGGGCAGCAGGGGUUUAUGUAGAAUGAGUGCAGGGCUUUUGUAGAGGGUGACAGUGGUUUUGGUGGAGGGGGGAGUGAUAUUCUGUGUACAUUACUGUG